UUUUUUCACUCAUAUUAUUCCAUUAUUCCAACCACCUGCAGUUCAAAUUUGACUUAAAUCAAAAAAUUACUCUAAAUGAAAUUAAUUGAUUAAAUAUAGCAAACAGGUCAAAAAAUAGUCCAUCUUCUACCAUGCAGUGCCAAAUGCCAUACAUGUGGAGUGUAAAAAGUUUGGAGGGUGGAGGAGGGGAAAAAAAAUUAUGUUUGCCGAGUGUAUGAAAAGACACUCGGCAAACCAUAUAGUUUGCCGAGUGUAC
rnacentral:lncRNA from 1 species